rnacentral:rRNA from 1 species
UACGUAGGGGGCAAGCGUUGUCCGGAUUUACUGGGCGUAAAGAGCGUGUAGGCGGCCACGCAGGUCCGUUGUGAAAACUGGAGGCUCAACUUCCAGCCGUCGACGGAAACCGUGUGGCUAGAGUCCGGAAGAGGAGAGUGGAAUUCCUGGUGCAGCGGUGAAAUGCGCAGAUAUCAGGAGGAACACCGGUGGCGAAGGCGGGUCUCUGGGCCGAUACUGACGCUGAGGAGCGAAAGCGUGGGGAGCGAACAGG